GUUUACUUUUUAAGAAUUAAAUGCCGAAAUCAUGUCAGAAAUUAAUGUAAAUCCCGGAUGCACUUCAUUUCACUUUCCUCUGUGCAUUGCAGUUGUGCCACAGUGAAACACAAUCACUGUCCAAUCACAGCCCUACACUGCACUCAGGGGCAUGGCUAUAAUCAGAGAAGGGUGAAAAGCAGCGCCAUUGAAAUAGUGUUUCAACACUGCCAUAGACUUCUCUUGUAAUCGGAGCAUGUGGCAGUGACUCGUGUCUUGGGGCAGCCGAUAGUUCCAAACACUGAAUGGUUCCAGCACUGUACCCCAUUAACUUCAGUGUUUCCCAAACACAUUCGCUGGAGUGAGGUAUCUCACUAUGGGAAACUCCUCGGGUGUGAACGAUCCUGGAAGCACCAAUAACACCACACCUGUCAGCUGAGGGAGUGCCGACCUCCCUAACAUAUAAGACGCUGCCAAAGGUCCCUUCUUCAUUCUCAGCAUAUCUCUUCUCCAUGCAACUGCAAGGAGGGAAGUGCGGAGGUCGAAUGAGUUUCUAUGAAGACUGCCCAUUCAAGAAAAAAACUCAUCUACACUCUCCCUGGAUGUAUUAUAUAAUAAAAUGUUUUGUUCAAUGCAAUUGGUUGUUUAUUUUGCACGAUUGACCAAACUUCUUUCUUGGGUAAAUUGAACAGUUGCUUGCAUUUAUUGAUAUUCACUUGUUGUGCAUGCUUAUGUGAAUGCCUUAACAUAAGAUAACAUUAGGAUGUGAGUAAUUAUGACCAUAGAAGCACAAGAAAAAUAUUAAUGCAUACAUACUGUAAAUGUAUUCUAUGUUAUGGGAGCAAUGACUUCCCUCCAAAAUUAAACACAGA